GCGGGCGUGGUGGAAUUGGUAGACGCGCCGGACUCAAAAUCCGGUUCCGCAAGGAGUGUCGGUUCGAGCCCGACCGCCCGCACCA
rnacentral:tRNA from 3 species